GACGAACCGUGCGAACGUUGUUCGGAAUCACUGGGCUUAAAGGGCGCGUAGGCGGAUUGGAUAGUCGGAGGUGAAAUCCUGCAGCUCAACUGUAGAACUGCCUUCGAAACUGCCAAUCUCGAGGGAGGUAGGGGCAUGUGGAACUUCCGGUGGAGCGGUGAAAUGCGUAGAGAUCGGAAGGAACGCCGGUGGCGAAAGCGACGUGCUGGACCUCUUCUGACGCUGAGGCGCGAAAGCUAGGGUAGCGAACGGG
rnacentral:rRNA from 1 species